rnacentral:rRNA from 1 species
UGGGGAAUAUUGCACAAUGGGGGAAACCCUGAUGCAGCGACGCCGCGUGAAGGAAGAAGUAUCUCGGUAUGUAAACUUCUUUUAUCAGGGACGAUAAUGACGGUACCUGAUGAAUAAGCCACGGCUAACUACGUGCC